CGCAAGCCUGAUGCAGCCAUGCCGCGUGUGUGAAGAAGGCCUUCGGGUUGUAAAGCACUUUCAGCGAGGAGGAAAGCUUAAGCGUUAAUAGCGUUUAGGUGUGACGUUACUCGCAGAAGAAGGACCGGCUAACUUCGUGCCAGCAGCCGCGGUAAUACGAGGGGUCCAAGCGUUAAUCGGAAUUACUGGGCGUAAAGCGUACGCAGGCGGUUUGUUAAGCGAGAUGUGAAAGCCCCGGGCUCAACCUGGGAAUUGCAUUUCGAACUGGCAAACUAGAGUCUUGUAGAGGGGGGUAGAAUUUCAGGUGUAGCGGUGAAAUGCGUAGAGAUCUGAAGGAAUACCGGUGGCGAAGGCGGCCCCCUGGACAAAGACUGACGCUCAGGUACGAAAGCGUGGGGAGCAAACAGGAUUAGAUACCCUGGUAGUCC
rnacentral:rRNA from 1 species